GAUGAACGCUGGCGGCGUGCCUAAUACAUGCAAGUCGAGCGAACAGACGAGGAGCUUGCUCCUCUGACGUUAGCGGCGGACGGGUGAGUAACACGUGGAUAACCUACCUAUAAGACUGGGAUAACUUCGGGAAACCGGAGCUAAUACCGGAUAAUAUAUUGAACCGCAUGGUUCAAUAGUGAAAGACGGUUUUGCUGUCACUUAUAGAUGGAUCCGCGCCGCAUUAGCUAGUUGGUAAGGUAACGGCUUACCAAGGCAACGAUGCGUAGCCGACCUGAGAGGGGGGUCGGCCACACUGGAACUGUGACACGGACCAGGCUCCUACGGGAGGCAGCAGUAGGGAAUCUUCCGCAAUGGUCGAAAGCCUGACGGAGCAACGCCGCGUGAGUGAUGAAGGUCUUCGGAUCGUAAAACUCUGUUAUUAGGGAAGAACAAAUGUGUAAGUAACUAUGCACGUCUUGACGGUACCUAAUCAGAAAGCCACGGCUAACUACGUG
rnacentral:rRNA from 1 species